GAUGAACGCUGGCGGCGUGCCUCAAACAUGCAAGUCGAGCGGGGCUAUGUAAUAUCGCAAGGUAGAACAUAGCCUAGCGGCGAACGGGUGAGUAACACGUGGGUAACCUGCCUGGAAGACAGGGAUAACGAUUCGAAAGGGUCGCUAAUACCUGAUAAUAUCCUUUCAUCGCAUGGUGAUAGGAAGAAAGGGGAAACCCGCUUUCAGAUGGGCCCGCGUCCCAUCAGCUAGUUGGUAAGGUAAAGGCUUACCAAGGCGACGACGGGUAGCCGGUCUGAGAGGAUGAUCAGCCACACUGGGACUGGAACACGGCCCAGACUCCUACGGGAGGCAGCAGUGAGGAAUUUUGGACAAUGGGCGAAAGCCUGAUCCAGCAACGCCGCGUGAGUGAUGAAGGCCCUCGGGUUGUAAAGCUCUUUCAGGGGGAUGAGAAAGGACGGUACCCCACAAGAAGCACCGGCUAACUCCGUG
rnacentral:rRNA from 1 species